CGCUGGCGGCACGCCUAACACAUGCAAGUCGAACGCAGUAGCAAUACUGAGUGGCAAACGGGUGAGUAUAAUGUGGGAAUCUGCCUUUUGGUUUGGAAUAACACGGGGAAACUUGUGCUAAUACCGAAUAAGCCCUUACGGGGAAAGUUUUAAUGCCGAAAGAUGAGCCCGCACUUGAUUAGCUAGUUGGUAAGGUAAAAGCUUACCAAGGCAAUGAUCAAUAGCUGUUCUUAGAGGAAGACCAGCCACAUUGGGACUGAGACACGGCCCAGACUCCUACGGGAGGCAGCAGUGGGGAAUCUUGCACAAUGGGGGAAACCCUGAUGCAGCGAUGCCGCGUGAGUGAAGAAGGCCUUUGGGUUGUAAAACUCUUUCGUCGGGGAAGAAAAUGACUGUACCCGAAUAAGAAGGUCCGGCUAACUUCGUGCCAGCAGCCGCGGUAAUACGAAGGGACCUAGCGUAGUUCGGAAUUACUGGGCUUAAAGAGCUCGUAGGUGGUUAAAAAAGUUGAUGGUGAAAUCCCAAGGCUUAACCUUGGAACUGCCAUCAAAACUUUUUAGCUAGAGUGUGAUAGAGGUAAGUGGAAUUUCUAGUGUAGAGGUGAAAUUCGUAGAUAUUAGAAAGAACACCAAAUGCGAAGGCAACUUACUGGGUCACUACUGACACUGAGGAGCGAAAGCAUGGGUAGCGAAGAGGAUUAGAUACCCUCGUAGUCCAUGCCGUAAACGAUGUGUGCUAGACGUUGGAAAUAUAUUUUUCAGUGUCGCAGCGAAAGCAUUAAGCACACCGCCUGGGGAGUACGAC
rnacentral:rRNA from 1 species